GGUUGAUCCUGCCAGUA
rnacentral:rRNA from 1 species